UACGGAGGGUGCAAGCGUUAUCCGGAUUUACUGGGUUUAAAGGGUGUGUAGGCGGGUCUUUAAGUCAGUGGUGAAAUCUCCGAGCUCAACUUGGAAACUGCCAUUGAUACUAUUGAUCUUGAAUUCUGUUGAGGUGGGCGGAAUAAGUCAUGUAGCGGUGAAAUGCAUAGAUAUGACUUAGAACACCAAUUGCGAAGGCAGCUCACUAAACAGAUAUUGACGCUGAGGCAACGAAAGCGUGGGGGAUCAAACAGG
rnacentral:rRNA from 1 species